rnacentral:pre_miRNA from 1 species
GUAAACAUCCAUGUAUAGACUCUGUGUGGGUAUUUUCCAGAGAUAAUUAUAGUUGCAACUAUAAUUAUCUCUGGAAAAUACCCACACGGAUUCUAUACAUGGAUGUUUAC